GGCCUCAUAGCUCAGUUGCUAGAGCGUGCGCGUACAAAUCAUAGGCGGUGUCCAUGCGUGAGUUCGAAUCCCGCCGAGGCUA
rnacentral:tRNA from 1 species